rnacentral:rRNA from 1 species
AUUGAACGCUGGCGGCGUGCUUAACACAUGCAAGUCGAACGGAGUGGCGAACGGGUGAGUAACACGUGGGUGACCUGCCCUGCACUUCGGGAUAAGCCUGGGAAACUGGGUCUAAUACCGGAUAGUGUGGGAUGGGCCCGCGGCCUAUCAGCUUGUUGGUGGGGUAAUGGCCUACCAAGGGGGCGGCGGGUAGCCGGCCUGAGAGGGUGGACGGCCACAUGGGGACUGCGAGAGGGCCCAGAGUGCAACGGGAGGCAGCGGGGGGGAAUAUUGCACAACGGGCGGAAGCCUGAUGCAACGACGCCGCGUGGGGGAUGACGGCCUUCGGGUUGUAAACUCCUUUAACCAUCGACGCGGUAGAUGGAGAAGAAGCACCGGCUAACUACGUGCCAGCAGCCGCGGUAAUAC